AUUGAACGCUGGCGGCAGGCCUAACACAUGCACAUCGAACGAGUGGCGGACGGGUGAGUAAUGUCUGGGAACCUGCCCGAUGGAGGGGGAUAACUACUGGACACGGUAGCUAAUACCGCAUACCAUCGGGUAGGCCCAGAUGGGAUGAGCUAGUAGGUGGGGUAACGGCUCACCUAGGCGACGAUCCCUAGCUGGUCUGAGAGGAUGACCAGCCACACUGGAACUGAGACACGGUCCAGACUCCUACGGGAGGCAGCAGUGGGGAAUAUUGCACAAUGGGCGCAAGCCGGAUGCAGCCAUGCCGCGUGUAGGAAGAAGGCCUUCGGGUUGUAAAGUACUUUCAGCGAGGAGGCGUUACUCGCAGAAGAAGCAUCGGCUAACUCCGUGCCAGCCGCCGCGGUAAUUC
rnacentral:rRNA from 1 species